GAUUGGUCCGAGAAAGGGGGCGUGGUAGUCCCAUGUCUUCUCUAUCCCUAAUCUCUCCCCCAAAACAACAACAACAACAAAAUCCCUAGGUUUAGCUUUUUUCACAAAUUAUUAUUACAAGCUCAUCUAGUAUUCCUACCACAUUAAUAUUUUUUGGCCAAGAAUUGUACAUAGCCAUGGCUACAAAUCGGAAGUUCAAAGAAGCUGUUAAAAGCAUGAGCAUGCAAGACAUGUUAGUGCAAUUCCUGUUCAGCAUGUGACUGAUCCUGUGCCUGCUCCUAGUUAAGGCUAACGUGACCAUCUCCGCCAUGACUCAGGCAGAAGCCAACAGUGAUUACCAGAUUAAUAUUGAUGUGCUUUCUCGAGAGAUCAUAGAUGGCAAUUGAUGUGCCAUAUUUGAGGUUUUAAGAUAUUUUCUGCUCCAGUUGCAGAGCAAGUGACCGGUUGUAAAGCUCUCGCGUCUCCGUGCCCAUCAUUUGUGACAGGCUGAGACGGCGUGCCCAUUUGAAAGAGGUUUGUGACAAAGGUGCCCAUAGUUCUUGAUAGGGGUUGUCCGUAAUUCGUGACACAACCAUUUUGGACCUUGCUUUAACUUAAAAUUCCACCUUAGCUCUGAUCGGACCGUUGUCAAAAUUAAUUGUUAGGCCCUUAGGGAAUCUUGGGUGACCUGGUCUCUGAAAAAUUAAAUUUUUUAUGAGCUUGUGAUUAAUUUAAAGUUGAUAAACUUACAAGGAGCUCUUUCUCGCCAGAAUAAAUGAUCCCAGUCACUUCUAAUUUGGCAUUGAGUUUCACCUCCACAUCAAAAUUGAGUUUCAGUCGAAUUUCCGUUAAGCACUUCGGCAGUUCUGAUAUGCAGUGCUCUGGGCAGUCGUCCUUCUAUAGAAGUAAUUCAUUAAAAUUAAAAAAGUAUAAAAAAAUGAUUUUUUUCUUUACGUUCGUUUUUUUAUCAGCUUUCUUCUGCUCCUUUGAUUGAGCAAAAGUGAUAAUGGGCGAUCAAAAAGUUUAUAUCUUAGGCUAUGCCCGAAUUCGUGACACAACCAUAAGAGACCGCUUGCUUUAAAAACUGGCUGAUUGAGUAAAGAUCUCCUUGUAAAUAUUUGGUUCAAUAAUAUAACCAUGUAAGUUGUAAUCUUGUGACAUCUAUAUUAUUACUGCAUUUAAAGAAUAAUAUUAUUUUAUGUGCAUGUAAUACAUGUUAUCCCACUCCUCCUGUAUUUCCCUUCAAACCACAGAAGGCGACACCUCGGUGCCGCACAAUAAAUAAAUCAGUUUGUGUUUGACCUGCAAAGCA